rnacentral:rRNA from 1 species
UAGGGAAUCUUCCACAAUGGACGCAAGUCUGAUGGAGCAACGCCGCGUGAGUGAAGAAGGUUUUCGGAUCGUAAAGCUCUGUUGUUGGUGAAGAAGGAUAGAGGCAGUAACUGGUCUUUAUUUGACGGUAAUCAACCAGAAAGUCACGGCUAACUACGUGCCAGCAGCCGCGGUAAUACGUAGGUGGCAAGCGUUGUCCGGAUUUAUUGGGCGUAAAGCGAGCGCAGGCGGAAUGAUAAGUCUGAUGUGAAAGCCCACGGCUCAACCGUGGAACUGCAUCGGAAACUGUCAUUCGUGAGUGCAGAAGAGGAGAGUGGAAUUCCAUGUGUAGCGGUGGAAUGCGUAGAUAUAUGGAAGAACACCAGUGGCGAAGGCGGCUCUCUGGUCUGCAACUGACGCUGAGGCUCGAAAGCAUGGGUAGCGAACAGG